rnacentral:rRNA from 1 species
AUACGGAGGGUGCAAGCGUUACUCGGAAUCACUGGGCGUAAAGGAUGCGUAGGCUGGAUGUCAAGUUGGAAGUGAACUCCUAUGGCUUAACCAUAGAACUGCUUCCAAAACUGGCAACCUAGAGUGAGGGAGAGGCAGAUGGAAUUAGUGGUGUAGGGGUAAAAUCCGUAGAUAUCACUAGGAAUACCGAUUGCGAAGGCGAUCUGCUAGAACUCUACUGACGCUAAGGCAUGAAAGCGUGGGGAGCAAACAGGAUUAGAAACCCUAGUAGUCC